rnacentral:ribozyme from 1 species
UCAAGAAAGAGAAGGGGAAAUGGUAUUGGGAAAACCAAAAUUGUGGAGCGGCCGACAGAGAAAUCGAAAAGAAACCAGAAGAAACAAAAGAAGAAAAGGAGGAGAGAGAAGCUAGGGA